UACGGAGGAUGCGAGCGUUAUCCGGAUUCAUUGGGUUUAAAGGGUGCGUAGGCGGUUUAUUAAGUCAGUGGUGAAAUCCUGCGGCUCAACCGUAGAACUGCCAUUGAUACUGAUAAACUUGAAUGUAGUUGAGGUAGGCGGAAUGUGUAGUGUAGCGGUGAAAUGCUUAGAUAUUACACAGAACACCGAUUGCGAAGGCAGCUUGCCAAGCUAUAAUUGACGCUGAUGCACGAAAGCGUGGGGAUCAAACAGGAUUAGAUACCCUGGUAGUCCACGCCGUAAACGAUGUUCACUCGCUGUUUGCGAUAUACCGUAAGCGGCCAAGCGAAAGCAUUAAGUGAACCACCUGGGGAGUACGUCGGCAACGGUGAA
rnacentral:rRNA from 1 species